CGCACGGGUGCGUAACGCGUGGGAAUCUGCCCUCUGGUACGGAAUAACUCAGGGAAACUUGAGCUAAUACCGUAUAAUGACUUCGGUCCAAAGAUUUAUCGCCUGAGGAUGAGCCCGCGUCGGAUUAGCUAGUUGGUGAGGUAAAGGCUCACCAAGGCGACGAUCCGUAGCUGGUCUGAGAGGAUGAUCAGCCACACUGGGACUGAGACACGGCCCAG
rnacentral:rRNA from 1 species